rnacentral:sRNA from 1 species
UGCAUGCGGGGUGUGCUUGUCUAUUUCUACUGUUGUUGUUGUGAUGAAUCUGCCAACUAUUCCAUCCAGCUGAGUUGUUGAUUCGAUCCAUGGUAUAGGGUUGAUCGCCUUCUCUACGGCUUUGCCAAUCUCUUCCCAGUUCGUUUGGUCGAAAAGUCUUUGUGGCUGGCUUGGAUCUUUCUGUUUCAGUUGCAGAUCCCAUUCUGAGUAGAUUGCUAGGUGGUCAGAGCAAUAGUUGUCUCGGUAGGGAUGGCAUUUGAAUAACUGAUGCAGGAUGUUACUGAGUGUGAGGUUGAGUGUGGAGCAUGUGCCUGGGUGGCUCGCUGAUCAGUAGGUGGCAGUACCAGGUGGGAGACAGCUAUGGAGUUCUUGAGCCUGUAUGAAGUUCAGAAGGCUCCCGGUGUCUCAGGCUUGUCUUCGGUUCACCUGGAUUCCACCCCACAUCUGAUGAUAUCGUUUGAAAUCCCCUGCGAUGAUCAAUGUGGUUGCGGGCGAGAGCCGGAUUGUCCAGCUGAUUUCGUUUAAGGUCUGGUGUAUCGAGUUGUCUACCGUGUCGAACGGGGAAUGUAUGUGGAGAAAAUCAAGGAAAGGAGGCAAAGAAGGAUAGAACCUCAAACCUAAGAUAUCAUCAGUCAAGGAUAAGCCUUGCCUUCAUCGUUGUUUUGUCUACUUCCAUGAGUUCCCUGAUCUGUUGGCCAUUUUUAAACCUCCUGUUGGACAAGGGCUAUUUGCUGUGUUAAUUGUGGUUAAAUUGGGUUCUGGAUUUCUGCUCUUGUGUUUAGGGUCUCAUAGGGAAGGGACUGGAGGCGGGAAAUCCCCUGUGGUUUCUAUAGCAGAAGUUCCCCAGGAAGAUGGUAUUGUUGCUAUCAUUGAUGCAAACCUGGCGCGGCAGGAUUCUCUGGUGAAACAUAAAGACAGUGGAGGUUCCUGUAUUUUACUGGCGUACUGACAAGAAUAUGAAAUAUGAUCUAUGUCAAGAGGAGGCUCAGACUUUCAAAUGUAUUUUCAAGUCUUUGCAUUAUUAAAUAGUAUAUAAAAUAAUUCCCCAUGAUAUGGUAUAUCUAGAUA